rnacentral:rRNA from 1 species
UCCGUAGGUGAACCUGCGGAAGGAUCAUUACC